GCCUGCACAAUUUCCAUCUUGCAUUUUACCAUUUAAACCCCCUGACAAUGACCCACUCCUACAUAAACAUAAUACCCAAAACAUCGUUGCACACCACCAUUGCCACCAAAGGGCACCACAAUUGUAGGGGCAUACCGAGACACCCCUACACACCCAGGUUUCGGAGCUACCGACGAGCUCGAACCUACCAAACCAGUCCAAAGGCCUACCUAUUAGCCCCGAACUCCAAUUUUACCCCAUCUCCCUUGCAGAUCAGCGGGCUGGCCUUCCAUGCCGCCGGCCAAGUUCCCACCCACCAGCGGCCCGCGAAAUAAGCCCCGAAACCGAUACUCCC